rnacentral:lncRNA from 1 species
AGCUCCUGGCAAAUCCUCAGGAUGCUGCAGAUUUACAGAAACCGAAGAGAAGGGCAAAGAAGUUAAGACCAGGCGAGGGCAGCAUCCGAAGACAGCCAGGGGCCGGGUGUCAGGUGCUGAGCUGUCUGCAGCCCCAGGCGUUUAGGUGGUGCCUGGCCUUCCGCCGAGAACCUGCUGUCUGUAAGAGGAGGGCCUAAAACUCUGGGAGUCAAGAGAGGGCUUACUGCAGUGGUGACCUACAAGUCAAGAGAGCAGAUGCUCGCCAGGUAUCGUGGCCUCAGGGUCUCCCUUUCCCUCGCUGGGCUUCAGCGUCCUCACCUGUAAAAUGCAUGUAUUGGCUGCGUUGACCCCUAAGGGCCAGUUUGGACGGGACACACUGUGAGAUGCACUAAAUACACAGGCCUGCCUUCUCUCCAGGUCUCUGUGCAGCUCAAGAGCAGUUACCGUUCCUGAGAGCCGUGAGGUACUGAACCAGCCACAGUGCCACAGGUUUCCAUCCCAUCGGCCACAGCAUGGACAGUGCCCGCUGCCUGGCACCAGGUACCUGGUCAACGAUUCUGAGUUAGAUGAAUGAACGGACUCCACUGGUGGCUGAGUGGCACCUGUGACCCCUGAAGGUUGGGCCAGUUUGGUUUCUUGUAGUAUAAAUAUUUAGAAUAUGACUGUUAUUAUGGUUUUUGGCAAGGGCGAAUUACUUACUCAUGGUCAUGGCCUUGAACCUAGCCAAACUGUGAGCCAGCCCCAGAAUAAACUGUAUUCAGCUGCUGGUUUCACAGCCAAAGGGAAACUGACUUUCCAUUGACCCCUGAGCCAGGUCUAAUUGUGCAAAAUUUUUUUUAUACAAACCGGUAUUUAGCAAAUGUUGUCAAACCGGAUGCUUCCUUGCGUUUUCUUUUUUAAAACCCUAAACUAGAACGAAAUUAGACCCUAUAUCAUCCUUGUUUGUAUUAUUGCACAAUAUAUUAAAAUAAUGUUAGCUAACACUCGCAGGGCACUACUCUGUGCGAAGUGCAUUAUCUCAUUUAGUCCUCAAAUAAACCUAUGAAGUAGGUACUAUUUUUAUUCCUGCUUUACAAGUGAGGAAAGUUCAACAGCUAAGUAACGUUUGCCAAGGUCGCACAGCCAGCCGUGAGACGUCAAGGUGGACGUUUGAACCCAGGUCGGCUGGCUUCCUCAGCAUCGGUGACAGCACAUUUAACGAGCACGUGUUACGUGGCAGUCACGUGUGGGCCGAGUAUUUUGCACGUUAACCCCUAUAGCAGUGCUGUCUGCAGUGUACCAUAUCAGCUUCAUUUUAGGGAUGAGGAUGCAAAGCAGUAAACAAAUCUAAAAAAUUUUUUUUAUUUUGUGCUUGCUAGAGCCACACCAUACCUAGGGUGGAAUGGGAGCUGUAGCUGCUGGCCUACACCACAGCCACAGCAAUGUGGGAUCUGAGCUGUGUCUGCGACCUACACCACAGUUCACAGCACCGUUGGAUCCUUAACCUACUGAGCGAGGCCAGGGAUCGAACCUACAUCCUCAUGGAUACCAGUUGGGUUCGUAACCUGCUGAGCCAUAGUAGGAACUCUAAAGCUUUUGAAAAAUUAUGUAACCUGCCUGUAAUUUGUGGCUAGUGACGCCACGGUGUAUUCCUCUAAACGGCGGAGCUCAGAAAACUCUCAAGGGCAGCAAAGGGGGAGAGUUUACCAAGGUCACACUGUGUGUUGGUGGUUGAACUGGGUCAGUGUUCCACUGGUGGUUUUUCCCGGUCACUGCUAGCAGGGUAUUGAUGCAGUAACCAGCCCUACGGCCAGCCCACCGUGUCCCUUGCCCCAGUGACAGGAAAGAGUGCCCUGUGGAUUAGAGCAUACACUUUGGAGUCAAACAGACCUAUGUUCAAAUCACAGCUCCCAAGCUAACUUGCUGGCUGACCUUGAGAACGACCCUUCCUCUCUCUGAGCCUAUGUCCUCUUCUGCAAAAUGGAACAGUAACCUCGCUCAUUUCCUGGGGUUGCUGGAGGAGUGAGUGCGAGAAGGCACAUGGGGUGUCUGUCCAGCGAGGCCACCCAGUUGAUGUGGACUAAGCCGUGACCUUGUCUCUGAAAUGAUCCAUGAGCUGAAAGAGCUUUGCAGCUGCCGUUCCACAUAAAGAAGCCCUGAAAUCUGCUUCACGGCGAUGACGUAGGCUGGGAAGGAGGCCAGAGGCCGCAGGGUGUCUGACUCUGGAAGAGACCCACACGCAAAUAGGCACCUCGCACCUGGCCACACACACCCUUGUGAGACGUAGGUGCACACAUUUGUGUACACGUGCAUGUGCACAGGGGGAUGCUCACACAGGAUGCGUGCCAUAGAUAUGCUCACAUAUAGAUAUGCACAUGCUCACACGUCUGCGUGUGCCCACACGCGUGUGCACCCACACUUCCCGUGUACACAUACUUCCUCCUCUUUGCCUGGUUAACACUUACUCCUUCCGCCUCCACCCGCAGGUCACUGCCUGGGGGCAGCCGCCCCGAGCCCCUCAGCUUGUGCUCCCUUGGCCUCCUGCAUGUU